AUACGACCCUGGCCUUCUGGUUAGCGCCUGAGUGGCUAUCGCAAAGGGAGGACUCAAAGUUCCUGUGUAUGACUGGUUGACAGAACCGCUCAUCCCUAAUCGACACCAUCUCACUGACAACAGUUAAAGUCUCCAGACAUCAUUCCUGGGUCCACUACUUUUCCUAAAACCAUGGUCAGUGAACCUGAAAAAGUCUCACUGGAAGGGCCAGCAAGAGGAGCACUGCUUGUGAGAUACUCCUGCAAACUGGUGACCAUUUUGCACCUCAUCAGAAGUCCCAAGCUUGAUUCCUGAUGCUGAGAAAAAAAAAAAAUGUAAAAGGUUUUGGUUUCUCCUAAUCUUUGUUUACACUCAUAAUUUUGUUUCUGGUGUGGGUGUGCUGGAUAUCAAACCCAGGGCCUCAUAAAUGUAAGCCAAGUGUUUUACCACUGAAUUAGGUUGCUGGCAAUUGUCCUUAAAAAAAAACAAAAGAACUUUAUAUAUACGUACAUGUGUAUAUGCAUACACAUAUGUACACACAUAUAUACAUACAUACACACAUAUAUAUGUAUAUAUCGAUUCUGAUUUGUGUAUCUUUGGAAAAAUGUGUACUCAGAUUGCUUUUUCUCCCCUUCGAGUACUGGGGACUGAACCCAGGGCAUCCCACAAGCUUUUACAUUUUCUGGAUACUAGCACCCUAGACAGGUACACAAUUUUGCGUUAUUUCUUGAUUGUCAUCUUUCCAUUUUCUUUUGUCUUUUUCCUUUUUAUCGGUACUGGGGAUGGAACUCACGACUGCCUGCUUGUAAGGCAGGCGCUUAUGCCGCUGAGCUAAAUCCCCAGCCCCUCAUCUUUCCAUUUUCUUAACACUGUCCUUUGCAGUACAAAAUUUAAUUUGUUUUUUUUUUUAUAUAUUUUUUUCUUUUUAUCGGUACCGGGGAUCGAACUCACGACCGCCUGCUUGCAAGGCAGGUGCUUACGCUGCUGAGCUAAAUCCCCAGCCCCCAAAAUUUAAUAUUUUUAUACAGUUUAUGUGUUUUACAUUUAGAUCUCUGACGCAGUUUAAAUGUGAACACAGGUGUCUCUCCAUUUAUGUACUUCACUCAACAGUGCUUUCUAGUUUUCAUUGAGUUUUACACUUCUUUUGUAUUUACUCAUAAGUACUUUUAUUUUUUGAGACAGGGUCUUGCUAGGCAGUUCAAGGUGGCCUCAAAUUCAGUGAUCCCCCUGCCUCAGCUCCAGAGUCCUGAGAUUACAGGUGCCUACCACCACCCAGUUAUUUGAGACAGGGUCUGUGUGCAGGCUGGCCUCAAACUCACAGCAAUCCUUAUGUAUCAGCCUCUCAGUCCUGGGGUUACAGGCAUGUGCCACCUUACCUGGCCUGGCCCUGUAAAUGGUAUUUUAAUUUCAUUUUAUUGCUAUGUAUUAUCUUGACUUUUUUGUAUUGACCUUGUAUCUUGUAACCUUGAGGCCAUUUUGUGUUGUUUCUUAAACAGUCAUCUGUGAAGUUUUACUUUUCCAAUCUUACUUAGAAAACGUUUGUUGGCAUUUCAAUGGGCCCCCUUAUCCUGUGGCUUCAAGCCACCAGAACAUACCCUCCCCACAACACCCUUAAUCUUUUCAGCUAUUCUGCUUACGAAAUUGGCUUUCACGAUGACAGGCUGCUUUGGGAGCUUCCUCUUUCCAAGAACUUUAUAGUAGCCCUAGGUUUUAAAAAAAAAAUCUUAAAAAUACUAUGUGUGGCAGGUUAUCAAUUCCUGUGGGACUGAGGAAAGCCUGUCAACCUAAACUUUCUAGGACUCUGCUGGGCCAGGCACUAACCUCCACCAGCAGAUUCUCUGAGAAUCCUAGCACAGUAGAACAAAUGGGGUAUCAGGAUGUAACUAGUCUUAGCAAAGCACACAACUCUCUCUCCUAGUCACCCACCACUCCAUAAGAAAGCACAAUCACAUUCCCAGCAAAUACCUUAAGUCUUGACUAUCAAUAUUGCUUAGAAGGCAUUAAUUAGAUCAGGAACUGAGAUUCAGGGCUACCCAAUAAUUUCCUAGGAUUUAGGUCUUGUUUAUGACUACACCUCCAUAUUCACAGGAGAUAAAAUUGACCAGAAUCCUCAGACAAAAAAAAAGUCUGUUUUCUGAGGAAAUCUCUUCAGGUAAUGUAGGACCCCAAAUAACAAACAUUACAAUUUUAUUGUAUAAGGACCAUGAGCUACACUUCAAGAUCAAAGUCAGUUAUAGCUCGUUAGGAAAUGUAAACCUGUUAAAAUCAGGGCAAUGACAUUAGGAACUGAUUACCAGUUGGAUGGAUGCUUGGUGGAAAUAUAGUGACAUAAUGGGAGUAGAAUACUAUUUUCCAAAGAUUUUGCCAGAAACAAACCAAUUAGUGGAUCACUAUACUCUUUAAGUUUUCACUUGAGAGGGAAAACUUGAGAGGACGAGACAGGCAGGAGAGUGAGGAAUAGUUCCAUUUAUGUCUAAUUCACUUACCAAUCAUACUACACCAAUGACAGGAGCUACUGCAGCCUUGUUUUUGGUGGCAUUGACUUGUGUCUGCUCACUGACCAAUGCACAAUUAAGGCUGGCAGUCGAGCAGAAGCUCUGGUUUAAGUGGUAAUGCCUCAUACCAACCUCCCCAAAGCACCUGGGUGGUAUUUUUCAAAGUUGAUCCUGUGGUGAUGCGCGCUUCCAGCCUUAUGCUGGCUUCCAGGGUGCUUCAAGUACUUGCCAUAGCCAUGGCCAUGGCUCAGAUGGCCCUAAAGCUUCCAGAUCAUCCUUAUUCUACAUGGCAUGUCAGUGGUUGUGAUGAAUUCUUUUCCAAUCUUUUUUUGUCUUUUUCCUUUUUAUCAGUACCAGGGAUGGAACUCACAACUGCCUGCUUGCAAGGCAGGCUCUUAUGCCGCUGAGCUAAAUCCCCAGCCCCCUUCUUUUCCAAUCUUGAUUCCCUUUUGUUUUAGCCUGAUUAUCUUGGACAGAACUUUAUAUGCAAUGUUGACUAGCAGCAAUAGAGUUUUCUGUUCUUGAAGUGUGGUGAAAAGUACCCUUUUUUGUUUCAGAGGCUUUUUUUUUUGGUACCAGUAAUUAAAUUCACCACCUCAUGGUUGCCACGCAGGUGCCCAAGCCGCUGAGCUAAAUCCCAGGCCCUACUUUUUUGUUUUAAAGAUUCAUGUAUUUUUAAAAAUUGGUACCAGGGAUCCAACUCAGGACCACGUGCUUGCAAGGCAGGCGCUUACGUGGCUGUAAAGAUACAUUUUUAAAGCUCUUACCAUUUCUAAAUUGGGAAUGUACUUAUAUCAGUGAGAUACCAAGUUUAUUUGAGACAUAAUUUUGCUAUUUAAUUCAUGCUGGCCUCACAGUAAUCCUCCUGCCUCAGCCUCUGGAAGUGCUAGGAUUACAGGAGUGCAGCACCACAUCCAGCAAGUUUAAGUAACAAAUACCAGUGCACACAAGGAAGCACAAUCUGUUAACUGCAUAAGUGAAUUACUGUUGGUGAUUUAAAAAUGUGGAAGGGAUAAUAAGCCCUCACACAGCCAUCAGGCUAAAAUGAUUCCUACUGCUAAUUUUGGUCUGAAUCUCCAAAUCAACUUAAAGCUUUAAUUAUGUUUAUGACUGUCUUCUCCAGCUUGUUGGGUCUUUUUAAAGGUAACUUUUACCUACCUCCAACAGAUAUAACAGUAUUAUCACCAAGAGCAUUUUUAGCAAGUUUUCUUUACAAUGAGCUUCAAAGUACAAAAUACUAUUGCAAAGGUGACAGCCUAAGGAUAAAAGCUGGAAUUCAGUUAAGACACUGAUAAACGGUCAGAUAAUUAUGCCAAAAAUUUAAUGUAUAAAUGAGCUUAAAAAAUACAGUCGUGGCUGGGGAUUUAGCUCAGCGGCAUAAGCACCUGCCUUGCAAGCAGGCAGGCGGUCGUGAGUUCGAUCCCUGGUACUGAUAAAAACGAAAAAGACAAAAAAAAAAAAAAAAAAAAAAAAAAAAGAAAGAAAGAAAAAGAAAAA